rnacentral:rRNA from 1 species
GCAGCACGGACUUCGGUCUGGUGGCGAGUGGCGAACGGGUGAGUAAUAUAUCGGAACGUAUCCAUAAUGGGGGAUAACUAAUCGAAAGGUUGGCUAAUACCGCAUACGCCCUACGGGGGAAAGCUAGGGAUCUUCGGACCUGGCGUUAAUGGAGCGGCCGAUAUCUGAUUAGCUAGUUGGUGAGGUAAGAGCUCACCAAGGCGACGAUCAGUAGCUGGUCUGAGAGGACGACCAGCCACACUGGAACUGAGACACGGUCCAGACUCCUACGGGAGGCAGCAGUGGGGAAUUUUGGACAAUGGGCGCAAGCCUGAUCCAGCCAUUCCGCGUGAGUGAAGAAGGCCUUCGGGUUGUAAAGCUCUUUCGCAAGGGAAGAAAACUUAGUUACUAAUAUUAACUGAGGUUGACGGUACCUUGAUAAGAAGCACCGGCUAACUACGUGCCAGCAGCCGCGGUAAUACGUAGGGUGCGAGCGUUAAUCGGAAUUACUGGGCGUAAAGCGUGCGCAGGCGGUUUUGUAAGUCAGAUGUGAAAUCCCCGAGCUCAACUUGGGAACUGCGUUUGAAACUACAAGACUAGAAUAUGUCAGAGGGGGGUAGAAUUCCACGUGUAGCAGUGAAAUGCGUAGAGAUGUGGAGGAAUACCAAUGGCGAANGCAGCCCCCUGGGAUAAUAUUGACGCUCAUGCACGAAAGCGUGGGGAGCAAACAGGAUUANAUACCCUGGUAGUCCACGCCCUAAACGAUGUCUACUANUUGUUGGUGGAGUAAAAUCCAUGANUAACGCANCUAACGCGUGAAGUANACCGCCNGGGGAGUACGGUCGCAAGANUAAACUCAAUGANUUGACGGGGGCCCGCACAAGCGGUGGNNUAUGUGGNUUAAUUCNAUNCNANNCG